rnacentral:misc_RNA from 1 species
CACAUCUGCCAAUUGAGAUUGAAGAUGCCAUGUAUCUAAGACUGCCACCUAGAUUCCCUAGAAGGAUGACUUUGGUAGAUAUGCUUGAUCGCGCAGACAUCUCAUGAAACAGGAGAUGUAAUCUUGCUUUUGCACAAUUUUAUCAUUGCAGGCUAAACUCAGCAGUUGUUUAAUUGAUUGAGCUUUGCUGAGCAGUCUGCAUCAUUUAAGAU